GAUGAACGCUGGCGGCGUGCCUAAUACAUGCAAGUCGAGCGAACAGACGAGGAGCUUGCUCCUCUGACGUAAGCGGCGGACGGGUGAGUAACACGUGGAUAACCUACCUAUAAUACUGGGAUAACUUCGGGAAACCGGCGCUAAUACCGGAUAAUAUAUUUAACCGCAUGGUUAAAUAGUUAAAGACGGGUUUGCUGUCACUUAUAUAUGGAUCCGCGCCGCAUUAGCUAGUUGGUAAGGUAACGGCUUACCAAGGCAACGAUGCGUAGCCGACCUGAGAGGGUGAUCGGCCACACUGGAACUGAGACACGGUCCAGACUCCUACGGGAGGCAGCAGUAGGGAAUCUUCCGCAAUGGGCGAAAGCUUGGCGGAGCAACGCCGCGUGUGUGAUGAAGGUCUUCGGAUCGUAAAACUCUGUUACUAGGGAAGAACAAAUGUGUAAGUAACUAUGCACGACUUGACGGUACCUAAUCAGAAAGCCACGGCUAACUACGUG
rnacentral:rRNA from 1 species